rnacentral:rRNA from 1 species
GAUGAACGCUAGCUACAGGCUUAACACAUGCAAGUCGAGGGGCAGCGGGAUUGAAGCUUGCUUCAAUUGCCGGCGACCGGCGCACGGGUGAGUAGCGCGUAUCCAACCUUCCGUACACUCAGGGAUAGCCUUUCGAAAGAAAGAUUAAUACCUGAUGGUAUCUUAAGCACACAUGUAAUUAAGAUUAAAGAUUUAUCGGUGUACGAUGGGGAUGCGUUCCAUUAGGUAGUAGGCGGGGUAACGGCCCACCUAGCCAACGAUGGAUAGGGGUUCUGAGAGGAAGGUCCCCCCACAUUGGAACUGAGACACGGUCCAAACUCCUACGGGAGGCAGCAGUGAGGAAUAUUGGUCAAUGGACGAGAGUCUGAACCAGCCAAGUAGCGUGAAGGAUGAAGGUCCUACGGAUUGUAAACUUCUUUUAUAAGGGAAUAAACCCUCCCACGUGUGGGAGCUUGUAUGUACCUUAUGAAUAAGCAUCGGCUAACUCCGUG